AAAACAUUAAAGCUAAUUAAAUACCUUCAGAAAAAUAAACUUCUCAUGGGAAAAGCAAGAUGCCGCAGAUGUCACCAGAAGAUGAGGCUCACCAAAAAGGGAGGACAGGACCAUUACAGCUGGACAUGCCAGCGGUCAGUUCAUCGGAGGACUAGGACCAUGAAGUCAAUCCGUGAUAGGUCUCUUUUUCACAGGUCCCACCUUUCUCUUUUUCAGUGGAUGCAGUUCAUAUAUAGAUUUGCGCAGGGUCUCCGACUUCGACAAGUUGAUAUGAUGCAGGAUGAAAUAGCAGCAAGCACCACAACCUUGUCAAGUAUGUCUCAAAAGCUACGCCAAGUCUGCAGAGAAGCUGUGGAAAAGAUGAGAAUAAAAAAGGG